UAAAAUUUGCUUUUCAUUGAUUAAGAAUAUAUUUAUGGAUUAUCGAUCUGCAUUUACAGAAGUAUCACUCAUAGAAGCAUCGAUACAAAAAGAACGCGAUAUAGUACAACACGUGCUUGCGAGCAAAAACUGAUCCUGGUUAAAGUUUUACAUGCAAGUUAGAUCUACUAUCUGCAGAACAAAUGUUUGUUUGUUUUGGGUUUAACGCCGUUUUUCAACAGUAUUUCAGUCAGUAAACGGCGGGCAGUUAACCUAACCAGUGUUCCUGGAUUCUGUAGCAGUACAAACCUGUUCUCCGCAAGUAACUGCCAACUACCACACAUGAAUCAUCAGAGGUGGAGGACUAAUGAUUUCAGACACAAUGUCGUUUAUCAAAUAGUCACGGAGAACAUACGCCCCGCCCGAGGAUCGAACUCCCGACCCUGCGAUCCGUAGACCAACGCUCUUACCUACUGAGCUAAGCGAGCGGGUCUGCAGAACAAAUGUAACAUUGAUAGGUUCUUGCCGCAGUUAUCCGGGUAUCAUCUGGAACAUAAUAUUUAUCGACGACUACCUGUAGUAUGAGCAGCUACAUUUAUAUUAUUCUACAAAACCAUUGUCAAUUUACUCAUAUAACCUUGCUUAGGACGGCCAGCACUCGCCAGGUAUAUGUAUGUUUUUGAUGACGUCACUCGACCUUCAGCUAUUUCCGGAAGUAAAUAAAAUAAAAGUAGAAAUGCUUAACUUGAAAACGAAAGCCGCAUUUUGAUUCGUAGAUAGUCAGGGGUCACGCGCAGGGGUCACCCCGUCUAAAUGUAUGCGCGUGGACUUUUUUGCUAUUGGGGAGCCAAUUUUCAGCACUUUAUUACGAAUUAAUAUUACCUGGGCUUUAGUACAGCAUGUCAGCUUUUAAUCUAUGAAAAAAAAAAAGAUGCUCUGGAUAAACACUAAUCCCACAGGGGUCCGCAACGGACGAAGCGUACAUUGAUAAUUUUGAAACUUCAUCAAAUCGCUCAAAAUCUCAUUUUUGAUGUUGUCUGAGAGUGUCAGUAUAUGCCUUAGAUAUGCUGUCAGCGAGUAGGACUUGCAUCCCAGGAGAGGACUUAGGACUUCAAUCGAGGGAAAGGACCGGCUGACCGACUGGUGGAGAUAAUAAUAACAUGACACAGGCUGACACACUGAUGAUGGCGUCAGCGAGUAGGACUUGCAUCGCCGUAAAAAGGACUUAGGACUUCAACUGAGGGAAAGGACCGACUGGCUGACGGACUGGUGGAGCUGACGUGGUGGAGCUGACGGACUGGUGGAGCUGAUGGACUGGUGGAGGCGAUAAUAAUAACAUGACAAAUGCUGACCCACUGAUGAUGGCGUCAGCGAGUAGGACUUGCAUCGCCGUAAAAAGGACUUAGGACUUCAACCGAGGGAAAGGACCGACUGGCUGACGGACUGGUGGAGCUGACGGACUGGUGGAGGAGAUAAUAAUAACAUGACACCUGCUGACCCACUGAUGAUGCUGUCAGCGAAUAGGACUUGCAUCGCCGUAAAAAUGGACUGGCUGGCCUGCUGACCGAGGGAAUGGUGGACUGGCUGGCCUGCUGACCGAGGGGAUGGUGGACUGGCUGGCCUGCUGACCCGAGGGGAUGGUGGACUGGCUGGCCUGCUGACCGAGGGGAUGGUGGAGAUAAUAAUAACAUGACACCUGCUGGCACACUGAUGAUGCUGUCAGCGAAUAGGACUUGCGUCGCCGUAAAAAUGGACUGGCUGGCCUGCUGACCGAGGGAAUGGUGGACUGGCUGGCCUGCUGACCGAGGGGAUGGUGGACUGGCUGGCCUGCUGACCGAGGGAAUGGACUGGCUGGCCUGCUGACCGAGGGAGGGAAUGGAUGGGUGGAGGAGAUAAUAAUAGCACCCUGCUGGCACACUGAUGAUGCUGUCAGCGAAUAGGACUUGCGUCGCGGUGGACUGGCUGGCCUGCUGACCGAGGGAAUGGUGGACUGGCUGGCCUGCUGACCGAGGGAGGGAAUGGUGGACUGGCUGGCCUGCUGACCGAGGGAAUGGACUGGCUGGCCUGCUGACCGAGGGAGGGAGUGGACGGGUGGAGGAGAUAAUAAUAGCACCCUGCUGGCACACUGAUGAUGCUGUCAGCGAAUAGGACUUGCGUCGCGGUGGACUGGCUGGCCUGCUGACCGAGGGAAUGGUGGACUGGCUGGCCUGCUGACCGAGGGAGGGAAUGGACUGGCUGGCCUGCUGACCGAGGGAAUGGACUGGCUGGCCUGCUGACCGAGGGAGGGAGUGGACGGGUGGAGGAGAUAAUAAUAGCACCCUGCUGGCACACUGAUGAUGCUGUCAGCGAAUAGGACUUGCGUCGCGGUGGACUGGCUGGCCUGCUGACCGAGGGAGGGAAUGGACUGGCUGGCCUGCUGACCGAGGGGGGGAAUGGACUGGCUGGCCUGCUGACCGAGGGAGGGAAUGGACGGGUGGAGGAGAUAAUAAUAGCACCCUGCUGGCACACUGAUGGUAAUAACAACAAUAAUAAUAUCCUGCUCAUUUCUUAAGUAAUUCUCUUGAAUUGAUAGCCAUAACAUUAGUCGAGUUUUCAUUAAAUAUUGUUAUCAGAGACAGGCCGCGAAGUCUGGUGUGGAUCCACGCUGGUCGCAAACCCACUGUGUUGGUUUUCUCAUGGCGGGGCUCAUUUCUUUAUGUUGGUUUUCUCGUGGCAAGGCUCAUUUCUUAAGCCAUUUUAAGAAAUGAG